rnacentral:lncRNA from 1 species
GGCCAUGGCACCUUCGUCGGACUCGUCAUCGACGUCGUCGUCCGUGAUUGCCUGCCACACUCGAAGGGUUCGGAGAAUAAUCUUCAUCUUCACCGCCCACACGCCGUAGUUGGCGUCGGUGAGCAUCGGGUACUGGAUGGGGAUGUUGCGAUGCGCCUGGACGUUAGCGCCGCUCGUUCCUCCACCACUGGUUGCUAACUUGACGCCCUUCUUCACCUUGUCGCCGUUCUUGUUCUCCUUGGCAC